AGUAUAUGCAUAUGCAAAUAUAGAAGUGUGGAAAUUGAAUGACCACCUCUGAUGACAUCUUAAACAAUAACCUAAACAUCAGAGAAAGAACUUCUGGUGUGAUUCCUGCAUCUUCUUGCCACUUCUGUGGACUCCAACCAAUGGGAAUACCUCUCAGUUUACAAUGUAUUGAACUGCAACUGCCAUUUCACAUGUGCUGUCUGCCAAGUGGACUGAACUGAGAACAAUGAAGAUGGAAAUCACCCCAAAGAACAAUUUCUAAACUAGUCCACUUUCCCCUCUAUGAUAAGGAUGCUUAUGGGUAGCUCUCCACUGUUGAUGGCUUCCAGCAGGAAGAGAAGAAAUCAGUUCUGUGUAAUGUGCUGACUGAUACUCUGUUGACUGACUGAGCUGGCUUGGUCAGAUGGCACCUCAAUGUUGGAAUGCAAGUACAAAAGUGGUCAAUCAACUGGCUUUGUUGUUGCUGUUGUUGUUGUUGACAUCACCGUCCUUGUCGUCAUUGUUUCCUGUGCUGGCAGAGCCUCUGAGAGAACAGCAGUACCAAGUUCCUGUCUACAAGAACAUCUUGGCAUCAGCAAUAGUGUCAGAGUUUUCGGCAGAUGGGAAGGAUCCAAAGAGAGAACUUCCCCUUGCUUCCUGGCCCUGGUUGAUCCUACUCACUCGUGGUGAUUUGGUGGAGGCCUAGCAGUUUCUGCUAGAUCAUGCGACCACUUCUGAUUUGUGUUUGCUAUCCUGACAUUGUGGAACUGGACUGGUAUCCUGAAAAAGAGAUAUUGGAAUCACCCCAAAGAACCACUUCUAAACAA
rnacentral:lncRNA from 1 species